UUCAAUGAAACACAGAGAAUCACUCACUGGGCAGCUGUCACCACACAGUCUCACCUGCGUGACAGCCCUGACUUUCUCUUCUACCACACCCCAAAGAGUAACAGGAAAUUCUCACUCUGGGGACACCUUCCUGAAGAGGCCAGCUGCUCAGGGCUCUAUUGCUCUUUGUCCCCAAGUUGUGGCGUAGGCUGGCCAGUGACCUGGUUGAUUUUCCAUAGGGCCCGACACUUCUUUCCUGGCCCAUUGAGCCCAUGUCUGGCUUACAAAAAGUCCUAGGAAUCUCUAGCCAUUCUUCAGACCAUUUGGAUGUGUCCUAAGUGCUCAGUGGUUGGUUUCAUCCUUUACUGGAGCAUUUUAUUGUGAGGCCAUAAUAUUUGGUGAAGUGUCACGUCCUUUCCUGCUUGCUGCUCUGGACCUAAUCCAGGAUGCAGACCUUAGACACGUGGAGAGGACCGAUAGGAAGGGCUCCAUCCUUCAGGGCUUGGGACGCUGCGCCCCCCUGAGAGCAGAGAUGACUUCCAGCUCUCUAUCCCACGUUACCUCGUCCAGGGCCCGCAAAUAGAAGAUACUCACUCAACUGUUAACCGGUCAGCGGAGAUGCCCAGGGAGACUUUGCCGGAUCGCUGCCCCACGUAAUAGCAUUCUGCCAGCCAACAUUCGCACCCCUCUGGGAUGUUGUGCUGAAUGAAGAAAAUGUAUACAGGAAUAUCUGUAAAGGAAAAACACAAAGCUGCAGAGGGGGCGGAACAGCUGAAGAAAAACAACACCUCAGUUGACAAUGCUACCUGGACAACUGGGAGUGAGAGAUCUCUUUGGAAACAAACUGAGGUUCUCAAAAGGAGUUGCAUUUGGAGCUUCUAGAACAGUGGUUCUCACUGUUGGCUGGCUAUUGAGACCAUCUGUGGACCCUUAAGAAAGACUGAUGCCUGAUUGAACAUGGCUAAGGGCCACUGACCCAGAAGACGGUGGUGAGAAGGUCACAGAGAAAAUGGUGGUACAGCAAGUGCAUCAGUGAGAGCCCUAGUUAAGUGACUGCAGCUGCCCUUACUCGUCUCUCACCCUCUACCAGGUACUAUUAAAAGCACGUAAUAAGCACUGCCUAAUUUAAUCUUCCCAACAGCUCCAUGAGGUAGGUACUAUGAUUUUUCUCAGUCUUCAGAUGACAAAACUGAGGCUCAGAGAGCAGGUAAGUGGCUGAGUGAAGUUAGACCAACACCAAAGCUCAUGCUGUUAGUGACUUUGGUGGAGAAUCUACCUGAUAAACAGGUGAGGGUGUCUCCUGGGUCACUUCAUGCCAUGUCACGUGCCUGGCAGUGACUCACAAAGCAGACAGACCUUUUCAUUUCAAAAACUGUAUGUGCCACAACACAGGUACAUACAAUGUGAUGCCUAGAACCUUGUUUUUAAAAAAGAGGGACCUGUCCUGAUUAUAAUAUGGAUGAGAAAAGGCCCUUGAAGUCACCUCCCAGAGAGUUCUGCUGUGAGGUAAAUAGUAGAGGAAUGUGCCCAGAAUCUACCUUGAAGCUCGCUCGAGGGAUGUCUGUGUGCAAUGGCCACUUCUACAAAGCUCCAGAAGGUGUCCCCACUGCUACAUGCUCUUAGAAAGGCUGCCAAACAGGUAGGCUGCGAAAUCUCCUUUAUCAUCAGCUUCAAAGCUCUUUAGAAAUACUUUCAAAACAGGAUAGUUUUUUAAAGCCGAUUUCUUUUCAUGUCUGGCCUUCAGUAGAUGUAGCUAGCUUUGGGGGGAUUUUAAUUAAUAGGAACACAUAGAUCAAUCAAAUGAACCCCUUUUUAUGAAUCACAUCACUAAGUGAAGCAAGCAGAUGCAACCCUAAUGCAGGUUCAGAUAUGCACCGAUACUUUCCACUGAUUUCUUUAGAAGUCAGCUUAGCUCACACUGAAUCUCUAAAAGGCUGAUGCCCUCCAUGGAUACUGCAGACAUUGGGAAAAUGCCUUAAAAAGAAUGAAUCUGUAAUAAGGUGACUAGAGUUCUUCUAUGCAAACAUAAAAGCAGGACAAAAAGUUUUAUAACACUUAAAAUGAAAAACAGCCCAAUUCAUUUAUCUAUGGGGUAAUAGAUAUGGUAUCUCAGGAAAUUGGACUAAACUGAAUUGCAAACAGAAGCAGACUGUAUAGGUCCCAACGUGUGGCUAACUUUCAAGCUAAACAUGAAGAGAGCUAAAGGCCUACCUCCCUCCAUAGGUCUCCCUCUGCUUGGCCUUGAGUCAUUUGCAGGUUGACUACAAAGGCAGGAAAAUUGUUUCUGGAAGCUCAGAUUUGAUAGAAGGCUUACAGCCCUCUCAUUAGCCUCAGAGGCUAAUCGGAUCCCCUGGUCAGAUAAAUUAGCUGACGCAUCACAGCAGAAGCGAAGAUUCUAGAUGAACGGCCUACAGGAGGCCUGGAUGAUGAAGGUCCUGGGAGGGUUCUGGGGACAUCAGGGACGGAGUAUAAGGUGGCCUACUGUUCUCUUUCAUGGACUUCACAUUUACUAAUAAUGUCCUAUUUGUAGUGGGGAUGAUGAGACGUGGACAUUUCAUUAUUAUUCUUAAAGUGUAUAUAAGUGUUACACAACACUUUUGCAUUUAUGAUGGACUUUCACAAUCCAAAGAGAGUGGAUGUCAGGGAACGUAUGGAGUAAGAAAGGCCUCUGCUGGGUAAGGAAGCCAUUAUGACCUUCCACAGAGGCAGUUUCAGUUAAGUGAGGGGGUCAAAAGCCAGUUGAAAUUGGGUUGGGGAGUGAACAGAGGCCACUGGUGUAUUCUGUUUUCUUACGUUGCCUGGUAUAGAGUUGGUGAUGAAUACAACAAGAGGAUUAAAGGCUUUCUAAGAUGGGGAGCACUUGUACUGAGGGCAAAGGAACAGGGAGCUUGAAGAUACUGAGAGCGAGAGGAGAUUAUUGACAGAGAGGAGUACAGACAGAAAGUUUGGCCUGGAAAAGCAAUGGAUGCUAUUUCAGUACAGUCGCCCUUUGCAUCUGUGGGUUCUACAUUGGGGGAAUUCAACCAACGAGGGAUCGAAAAAAAUUGGAUGACAGGAAAACAAUAAAAAAUAACAAAAAAAAUUAUACAAAUAGCGAUACAGUACAAUAUAGCAAUAAUUUCAUUUUUUUUCUUUUUUGGAGAUGGGGUCUUGCUAUGUUGCCCAGGCUGGUCUCCAACUCCUGGGCUCAAGGAACGCUCCCAUCUCAGUCUUCUGUGGCUGAGAUGACAGGCGUUAGCCACUGCACCCAGCCAAUAUAGCAACUGU